AUUGAACGCUGGCGGCAUGCCUUACACGUGCAAGUCGAACGGCAGCGCGGGGCAACCCUGGCGGCGAGUGGCGAACGGGUGAGUAAUGCAUCGGAACGUGCCCAGUCGUGGGGGAUAACGCAGCGAAAGCUGCGCUAAUACCGCAUACGAUCUAUGGGUGAAAGCGGGGGACCGUAAGGCCUCGCGCGAUUGGAGCGGCCGAUGUCAGAUUAGGUAGUUGGUGGGGUAAAGGCUCACCAAGCCAACGAUCUGUAGCUGGUCUGAGAGGACGACCAGCCACACUGGGACUGAGACACGGCCCAGACUCCUACGGGAGGCAGCAGUGGGAAUUUUGGACAAUGGGCGCAAGCCUGAUCCAGCAAUGCCGCGUGCAGGAAGAAGGCCUUCGGGUUGUAACUAGCUUUGUACGGU
rnacentral:rRNA from 1 species